ACCCCAGGACGGACAGAACGGGCAUACCACUCCAUUGACACAGUCCUGCCAGGGACGGAGCAAUCCUGACAGGUGCUGAUCACCCUCAAUUGCAUUGAAGCCAGUGAGAACUGGAGUACCGAGCACUGCAUAGGGUCAGGCCCAGCAUUUCUGAUCUUAAAAAUAAAAGUGUAUAUUUCCUUCUAUAAUCUCAAAAUUAAUCUACUUUGACCACCAAAAAUACCAUAACAUUUAUGAAAAUAAAAUCACUUUCCUAGUUGA